GGGAACGUGGCUCAGUGGUAGAGUGCUUGCCUAGCAUGCAUGAAGUCCUGGGUUCAAUUCCCCAGUACCA
rnacentral:tRNA from 1 species